rnacentral:rRNA from 1 species
AACGAACGCUGGCGGCAUGCCUAACACAUGCAAGUCGAACGAGACCUUCGGGUCUAGUGGCGCACGGGUUCGUAACGCGUGGGAACCUGCCCUUAGGUUCGGAAUAACUCCCCGAAAGGGGUGCUAAUACCGGAUAAUGUCUUCGGACCAAAGAUUUAUCGCCUUUGGAUGGUCCCGCGUUGGAUUUGCUGGUUGGUAGGGUAAAAGCCUACCAAGGCGACGAUCCAUAGCUGGUCUGAGAGGAUGGUCAGCCACACUGGGACUGAGACACGGCCCAGACUCCUACGGGAAGCGGCAGUGGGGGAUAUUGGACGGUGGGGGAAGGCCUGAUCCAGCAAUGCCGGGUGAGUGAUGAAGGCCUUAGGGUUGUAAAGCUCUUUUACCCGGGAUGAUAAUGACGGUACCGGGAGAAUAAGCUCCGGCUAACUCCGUG